rnacentral:rRNA from 1 species
AUUGAACGCUGGCGGCAGGCCUAACACAUGCAAGUCGAGCGGAUGAAGGGAGCUUGCUCCUGGAUUCAGCGUCGGACGGGUGAGUAAUGCCUAGGAAUCUGCCUGGUAGUGGGGGAUAACGUCCGGAAACGGGCGCUAAUACCGCAUACGUCCUGUGGGCGGAAGUGGGGGAUCUUCGGACCUCACGCUAUCACAUGAGCCUAGGUCGGAUUUGCUAGUUGGUGGGGUAAAGGCCUACCAAGGCGACGAUCCGUAACUGGUCUGAGAGGAUGAUCAGUCACGCUAGGACUGAGACGCGGUUCAGAUUCCUGCGGGAGGCACCAGUGGGGUAUAUUAGGCCAUGUGAGAAAGCCUUAUCCAGCCAUGCCGCGUGUGUGAAGAAGGUCUUCGGAUUGUUAAGCGCUUGAUGUUUGGAGGAAGGGGAGUAAGUUAAUAUCUUGCUGUUUUGACGUUACCAACAGAAUAAGCACCGGCUAACUUCGUG